GAUGAACGCUGGCGGCGUGCCUAACACAUGCAAGUCGAACGAGAUGCGUAUUGGAAAGCUUCGGCCGGAAGAUGCGUUAUCUAGUGGCGGACGGGUGAGUAACACGUGGGUAACCUGCCUUAUGGAGGGGGAUAACAGAGAGAAAUCACUGCUAAUACCGCAUAAGCACACAUUGCCGCAUGGCAGAGUGUGAAAAGAUUUAUCGCCAUAAGAUGGACCCGCGUCUGAUUAGCCAGUUGGCAGGGUAAAAGCCUACCAAAGCAACGAUCAGUAGCCGAUCUGAGAGGAUGACCGGCCACAUUGGGACUGAGACACGGCCCAAACUCCUACGGGAAGCAGCAGUGGGGAAUAUUGCACAAUGGGGGAAACCCUGAUGCAGCGACGCCGCGUGAGUGAAGAAGUAUUUCGGUAUGUAAAGCUCUAUCAGCAGGGAAGAUAAUGACAGUACCUGACUAAGAAGCCCCGGCUAACUACGUG
rnacentral:rRNA from 1 species